AUUGAACGCUGGCGGCAUGCUUUACACAUGCAAGUCGAACGGUAACAGGCCUUCGGGUGCUGACGAGUGGCGAACGGGUGAGUAAUGCACCGGAACGUACCCAGAGGUGGGGGAUAACGCAGCGAAAGCUGUGCUAAUACCGCAUGUGAUCUGAGGAUGAAAGCGGGGGACCGAGCAGCAAUGUUUGGCCUCGCGCCUUUGGACCGGCCGAUGUCGGAGUAGCUAGUUGGGGGGGUAAAGGCCUACCAAGGCGACGAUCCGUAGCUGGUCUGGGAGGACGGUAAGCCACCUUGGAACGUGGACACGGACCAGAGUCCUACGGGAGGCAGCAGAGGGGAACUUUGGACAAUAGGCGCAAGCCUGAUCCAGUAAGCCCGCGUGCGAGAAGGAAGCCUUCGGGUUGUGAUCCGCUUUUGGCAGGAGCGAAACGCUGUCCGCUAAUACCGAGCGCUAAUGACGGUACUUGCAGAAUAAGCACCGGCUAACUACGUG
rnacentral:rRNA from 1 species